rnacentral:lncRNA from 1 species
AUGCAGUGGCUUCAAUGGAAUUUGAAAGACCAGUUGCACUGGGUUGAUCAGGAGUCACCAGCUCUUCUGAAAUGUCUUCAACCUCCUUUGGAAUUGCUAAAGCUUUUCACGCAUCAACAAACUCUUGCAUGCCUCCAUAGGCUUCUGCUCGUCCACUCUUUGUGAUUCCAGGUGCAGAUCUCUUCAUUCUUGGAGUUCAUUCUUGGAUUCGGUGGAUGCAACUUUUCAUCAUCAUAGCUGAAGCUUCUGCUCUACUCGAAAGCUUUCGGAAGGCUGUACAACUAAAUUUCUCCAACAUCUGAAUCGAACUAAUUCCCUUGAGUUAGUCGAUUCGCUGGUUCCUUCUUUUAUUUCUUUGUUCAAGUCUUUAUGUUGUCGAUGUGGUCCAUGUUUCCCGUGUCAUGAAAGGCGUGGUCCAUUGGCUAGUCAAUCUCAGAAGGACUGUAAAUUCUCUAUGUUUUGUGGGUCUUGUAAUGAUAGAUCAGUCUAGCUCAUUAUCUAAUCCACUUUAAUCUUUUAUGAAAUUUCUCCUUUUUUGGUAAAAAUAAACAAACUCUAACAUGCAAACUAACAUGUAAGCUCAGAAGGUUUAAAAGUGACAAUUAAAUGUGUAUUGCAAGAUUCGGUAAUUGGCUUUAUUUCUUGUUGUAGAGUUUAUGAUCAUUUACGUCACUAGUAUUUCUUAUUUAUGCACACUAUCUUGACCCGUUCUCAACGAGUAUUUUUCUGGCUAUCCGUGCCUUUUUGUAUGUAUUCAGUGUUUUGAAUUUUGAUAUCAGUUGAUCCCUCUUUAUUCUAUUCUUUGUCUUAGAUAAUAAUGUGUCUCUAUUUUGUUAAGACAGACAUUAGUGAAAUGAAUAUAUGGAAGGAACUGAGAAAAGCAGAAUUCAUAAUUUUAAAUAAGACAAGUCAUCAAAGCAAAAUUAUGCACUUAUAUCAUGUUAAUGAACCAAUGCAACGUGAGCAUACAACAUACGCAUUUUCAAACAAAGGAUACGAUAUUUAUUGAUGAUCACGAAAUUGGCAUAUAUAGAUUGAUGUCUCCAGAUUGAAAUGUGGCCUGCUGUAAUUAACAGGUGUUAUGCUACAGAUAUACUAUAUUGAUGUAUGGUUAAUUUAAUUAAAUAUCAUAUAAUCCAUGAUCAACUUCAAUCUUGAUUUUUUUUUGAAUUUUUACGAGUCAUAAAUACUAUUCAAGACAUAUUAAUUUAAACAAAAGAAAUCAAGUUUUAAAGGAUUAUAGGAUUGUUUUUUUUUCAAAUCUGGUGCAGCAAUAAAUUAUUUUUGGAUCAAAUAAAUGAAUAAUUUUAUAUUUUUUAAAUACAAAAUUAUAUAAAUAUUUUGUAGAUCACUUUAUCCAUAAUUUUGAUAUAAAUAAUUUAUUCCUGUAAUUUUAAUCUCUCGUAAUAGUGAAUGAUAGUUGUUGAAAUUAUGAUGCUCCUAUGGCUCUCCUUUAUUCUUAAAUAAUUGUCAUAAAGCUUGUCUUCCUCCUUAGUCAUGAUAACUUCUUAUCCCUAUUUGAAACCUAUCGCUUUCAAGGUCUUCUUUUUUUCAUAUCUUACUUCAUCACCGAUUGAUUGUGAUCAUGUUCUAUCAAAUUAGCUGAAAAGAUAAGGAUGAUUGAAGAUGAACUCAACGUUUAAUAAGAAGAAGUGAAUAACAUUAUGGAACUAUGACUCAAAUGCGUCUAAUGUCCUAUCGUGUACAAGCAAAAGGAUGACCUCCUCAAACUGAUGGGUGAAUCCAACAGACAAUUGAGAUGGAAGCACCUCUAUCGGACGCAUUCCAUGCCAGGAAGCAUCCCCAUCAUCAUCAUACAAUAGUACAUAUGUUGACCUAUGUACGAGUGUACAACAUGAAAAGGGAAGCUCUUAGCUAGUCUUCAACUCUUCUUCUUCCUCUCUUAAGAACUAACGGGGGAUACCGAGUGAGCUAACGGGGGAUGCAGGAGGCCACAUAAAGAAGAGUAGGUAAGGAGAUAGAGGAAGAAUGAUUCUGGAGAUCUUAGCAGUCAAGGACAUGACGCUAUUAUUGAACCUUUUAGCCAUGAGAGCAACAUAUAUCAUUGUCUCUAUCACACUUUCUUCCCCCAAAUAUAAUUUAGCCCUGCUUUGUCUCAAUGCAGUCUGCAAUAACAAACCAACGAAGUGAGUUUUCAUAAGUACAUUUUGAAAUCAGCAUUUGAUCAGAUCCGUGAACAUGCAUUAGUACAUACAUUAAUAUCUAAAACCUUUAAUCAUAUAAUGUUUUGAUUUGAGUACCUGAAACUAAGAAAAUUUUCAAGAAACAAUAAUCUCAUAAAUUAAAUCACUAGAAAGGUUAAUUUCAUACAACUAUUGUACAUCUGUUCUCCAUAUGCUAUCAUACAACUUUAAGGUAUGGAUAUAUAUAUAUAUAUAUAUAUAUAUAUAUAUAUAUAUAUAUAUAUAUAUAUAUAUAUAUAUAGUUUUACGAUCUUAACUUAGAGUUAAAUCAUGACCACAUAAUAUAAAUCAUAUAAAUCGAGUAUAAUCAAAUUAUACUUGAUCAUAUAAGUUAAAUUAUAUUUGAUUAUAUGAGUUAAGUCAUAUCUAACUAUAUAAGUUUGGUUAUAUUUAGUCACUUGUGUUAAGUCAUACCUAAUCACAAAAAUUUGAUCAUGUCUAAUCACACAAGCUAAAUCAUGCUUGAUCACAUGGAAUGGAUUAUGCUUAAUCAUACGAGUUAUACCUGAUCAUAUAUGCUAAGUCAUAACUAUUAAAUGAGUUAGACAAUGCUUGAUAACAUAGGAUGAGUUAUGUUUAACCACAUAAGUUAGAUCAUGUCUCAUCACAUAAAUCGAGUAAUAUAUAACUAUAUAUAUUAUAUUAUAAUUGACUAUAUGGAUUGUGUUAUGUUGAAUCACAAGAGUUGAAUCAUACUUGACCACGACCACGUAGAUUGAAUGAUACCUAAUCACGUGAGUUUGAUUGUACUUCACCAUAUAGAUUAAUUUGGUCAAUCAACUUAACUAAGAUUAAAUCUCAAAUUUGACUCAUACUUGUUAAAUUAGAUUUUAACAUUUUAAAAAUAUUUUAAAAUAUUAUAAAAAUAAUAAUUCAUCAUAAAUCUAUUAAUUUUCAUGAAUUAACUAAUUUAGAUUUAUGUUCAAAAUUUAAAAGUAAUUAAAUCUAAAAAUACAUACUUAAUUGUUUAAAACAUAAAUACACUUUCAAUGAUCAUUAUUUAUUAAUAAUAAAAUUUUAAAAUUAAAAAUAUCAUUUUUUAUGUAUAAAUUAAAAUAAUUUAAAUAUUAAAUAAUUUUAAAAAUAUAAAAAUAAAAUAUUAAUAAUAAAAAAAAUAUACUCUCCUCAUGAUCAUUUCCUCUAAGAGAGCUAGGAAUUGAGUAAAGAUGAGCUUGAGCUCUCCAUAAAAGAUAAAUAAUAAUUUUAAUAAUUUUCUUAAUCAUAUUAUAUAAAUAAAAAAUACUAAUUUAAAUAAAAUAAUAUAUGAUUUAAAGUAAUUAAUUGAUGUUAGAAAUUUAUGGAUGAUUACAAAAGUCACGACUUUAUUGGAUGAUCUGCAUGAUUAGUAAACUAAUAAAUUAUCUGUAGUCAAUCAAGCUAACCUAACAAUUACAAGAUCUUUUGAAUGUUGAUAGUUGCAAUUUGUUAACUAUGUAAUCAAACAAAGAAGACAAAAUUCAGAAUAUGCUAUAAGUUCCUGAAGUUUCAGAAUACCUAACAUCUAUAAAAAGGGAAGAGUUGAGAUGAAGCAUUAUGAAAACGAUGUAAAAGUAUAACAUGAAAAUGCACCAAGGAAUAUAUAUAUAUAUAUAUAUAUAUAUAUAUAUAUAUAUAUAUAUAUAUAUAAUUCAUCAAGAAAAAUUCAGAUCAUCAGAUAUGAGAGACAGCAAAAACAUAAAGGGCUUUCACAUGCAUGCAUGGCAAACGAAAAGGUUCAAUUGUGAUUUUAAAAACAUAAUUGUCAUGCAAAAAGAUAAAUUAAUGGUUCAAGUAAGACAUAUCUUAAUAAGAGUAAUUUAAUUUUUAACCCACGAGACCAAGCCGAAGCAUUACACAAUAGGAGUAAUAAAAAAUCCACAGUUAUUGAAAUUUGUUACUUAAAAACUCGGAGUAACUUAUAGUUACCAUUUCCCCAUAAACCAAAAAUUUAUUUCCACUAUAUUUUUCCUUGACUAAGAAUAACAUCAUUAAACUUCUACCAUCGAUCGAUGACAAUGACAAACUUGCCAUCUGUAGGAGAGCAAAGGUCAAGAACAAAAACAUGAGAAACCAUAAAAUUCUUUCUUAAAAAAAUUAAUUUAAUAAGUUCAUAUCAAGUGGUCAAUUAAGAAAAUUAUCAAAAGUAAUAUCAUGGUUACAUCUACUCCGCGGGCUAUGAUAUAGCUUAUGAGUUCAGCCUAACAUACUAAUUUAUUUCAAUUUAAAUCAUAAUUAAUUUUUAAAUUUUAAAUUAUACUAUCAUGAAAUUAUAACAAAAAUAAAUUAUAUACCGAUCAUUUUCAUGUCGAGAUAAAAUAAUAUAUUAAAAUAUUUUUAAUUUAUCUUUUAAAUAUUAUUUAAUAUAAAAUAAUAUCAAUUAGUCCUUAAUUAACUUGAAUCCUAGUUCAAUCGAUCUAAUUGAAUUGGAUUUAAUUAUAACCUAGUUUAAUCGAUCUCUAAUUCUUAUUUAAUUGAUCUAAAAUUAUCUUAAACUUAAUAUAUUUUAGAUUAUAUUAAGUUUAAUUUAUGUUAAAUAUAUUUAAAUAAAUUAAAUUACUUCAAAGUCACCUUCAAUCGAUUUAAAUUUAUCAAAUUAGAUUUCGCUCAAUCGAACACAAAUGAAAUAAAGUAAAGAUAGUAAUAUGAUAUGUUAAGUUAGUCGAUGUACUUAUUGUAUAUGACUAUGCAUAUAAAAUACCAAGCUAUGUCGAAUCAUAGCCCAUGAACUAAUCAUAUGCACUACACAUGAUUGUCCAUGUUGAGUCGGAUUGAAUGACUAACUAGGCUUAACCUGUUGGGUCGAAUCUACGGGUUGUAGUUUAGCCUGUGGGUAGAUCCUGAUUUGCUAAACGAAUUUCAACCUAAAUCAUAAUAAUUUUUUUAAUUUUAAAUUAUAACAUCAUGAAAUUAUAAUAAAAAUCUCAAACUAUUGCAAUUGAGUCAUUAAAACAUAAUAAAUAGUAAUCUAUUAAAAAUAUAAAAUUGCAUUAAGGGGGAAAUAAUAUUUUUAUUCAACUAUUAGAUAAAUCUAAUAAAAAUUGAAUAUUACAACUAGUAUAAUGCAUAAAAGAUAAAAAUUUUCAAAAUUAUUAUAGUAUGAAUAAUUAUAAUAUAUUAAAUCUAAAAAUAAAAUUUUAAAUAUUUGGAUGAAUAUAAUAAAAUUUUAGAAACUAUAUAUAUCAUGAAUAAUAAAAAAUAAAAAAAUAUUAAUUUUUUAAAAAAUAUAGAAACACCUAACUGUACGUAGUGAAAAACGAAGAAGAGGAAUCACCCCUAUUAAAUAAAAAAGUCCAACCUUCCAAGGUAAUAAAUAUUUUAAUUUAUUUAUUUAUUUAAUAAAAAAUUAUAUCACUUAACUUAAAAUAUUGAAUAUUUAUUUUAUAAAUUUUAUUCAUAAGAAAAGAAAGUAAAUAAUUGUACUUAAACUGAAAUAUUUAAGCACAGAUGAAACCUGUCAAAUUAGUAUUUUAAGAUCAUUUUAUCCAUAUUUUUUAUAUAAAUAAUUUAUUCCUAUAAUUUUGUUUUUCUUGUGCAUUGCGAAGGUUAUACACAAUACGUAUAAGGAGGGUGGUUGUAAUUAGGGCGCCGCUGCGGCUGCUCUCUUGUCCCACAACGGCUGCUGCUCCGCUCCGCUCCGUACUCCAACGCCGCAAUGGCCUUCUGCCCUUGUUCGAAACCUGCCGCCUUCGAGAUCUCCUCUUCUUCUCCUCCUCUGUCGACCCUGCCGCCGCCGUAGGCGGCACCAUAUCUCCAGAUCCCCACUUCAUGGUGGAAUACCUCGUGAACUCUUGCGGGUUCUCCCCCUCCGAGGUCCGAGGCAGCCAAGUUCUCUAAAUCUCUUGCGCACCUCCGAUCCACCGAGAAACCCGACGCCGUCCUUAACUUCAUGAGAUCUCAGGGCCUCGGUGGCGCCGCUAUCAGGAAGGUGAUAUCUUCGGAACCCAAUUACCUGUGCUACAACGUGGAGACGAACAUCGCCCCGAAGUUUCAGUUCUUACGUGAUUCGGGCCUAUCGGAGUCGGAUAUCGUCGAUGUCAUCCUGAAGAACGUUGUUAUUCUGCUCCUCGACGUUCACCGUUCCUUGGUCCCCAAAUUGGAGAUGUGGGAAAGUCUCUUGGGAUCGAGAGAGCUCGUUCUCAAGCAUCUCAAGAAGACCCGGUGGUUUUUCUUCUCCAGCGUUGAGAAGAAAUUGCAUCCUAACCUAAAGUUCUUGAGGGAUGAGUGCGGCAUUCCUGAAGAAAGGGUCUAUGUCGUCUUGAGAAGUCACCCACAAUUAAUCUCACAGAAACCAGAGUCUCUCCGAGCUUUGGUGGCGAGAGCCGAUGAACUGGGGAUGCCACGGCAAUCUCGGAUGUUCGUGCGGACACUUGAUGCUCUCCACAACGUAAGCCGAGAAAGGUUCGAGGCCAAGGUCGAGCUCAUGAGGAGCUUCGGGUGGUCGGAGUCGGAGUUUUCUUCUGCAGUCAGGAAAGCACCCACCUUCUUAUGCAUCUCCCUCGAUAUGUUGCGCAGAAAAGUGGAAUUUUUUAUCAAUGUAGUCGGGUACACUCCUUCCUUCAUCGCCUCCCAACCAUCUAUCUUGCUAUAUAGUCUGCAGAAGAGGGUAAUUCCUCGGUUUCGUGUUUUGGAGAUGUUGAAUACGAAAUGCUUGUGGACUCGACAAGGCACGUGUUUGUCCUAUGUGAAAUUAUCAAAUGCAAAAUUCCGGGAGAAGAUUGUUCUACCUUACAAAGAAAAGGUUCCUGAGCUUCUUGAUAUUUUGAGAGCUGGUGAGUGUGAAGGGAAAUGAGCCCUUUUAUUUGGUAUCAGAGGAGGAUGAGAAGGGCUUAGCUGCUGGUUUAACUCACAUUUGAAUUUCUCAUCCGGAGCUGAGCAGUGAUUCGGCACCUUUUUCCUUGACAACAAGCUGUCUUACAUCAACCACCAGCCUUGGCUACUGAGUUGCAGUCCAGUGAAUGAAUUAUUCCUUUGGUGUCAUAUGGUAGUAAUGUUGUAAUUGGAAGGUCUAUGCAGUGCCCAACACAAAAUGUCUUCCAGUUUUACUCACUAAGGUUCAUGGAAAAAGUCUGUUCUUUGUUGCAAAGCAGAAGUCCCUGGCCUGUUUGAAAUCUCUGAUAGAUGAAGGUAGAUUAUUCCCCUAGUUUGAGAUUCUGGAAAUAGAAUGCAAAUGGCUUCUCUAAAAGUCUAUUGAGGUGUGAGAUUCUUCUUAUGUGACAAGCUAGUUUAGCAUUGAUUAUAAACCAACUUUGUCUGUAUGUGAAAAUGCAAAUGGCACAGUAUUGUUGGUUUGUAUGUGAACUGCAGAUUUUAGAAAUUCUGCUUAGCAGUCCAACGGAGAUUAUUUUGGAUCUUAGGAACAUUUGGAUUCUGUUUAAGUUGAUUCUGAACGGGUAUUUGGAUUCUGACAAAUGUAAUUCCGGAUCGGUUAUUGGUUGUUGGGUGAGUGUGAAAGAGCCAUGUUUCAGAUUAAGUUAUGCAGUAUGUAUACACCACCAAAGAUGACGAGAAGUUAAAUGGAGUAGUACUUGCUCUGAUGAUUUUAGUAGCUGAAAAAAAUUUAAACCCCAAAGUGUUGUUUCUAUAAUUUAUUGUAGGUGAGUUUUCACGGAUUUAUGGAUUUGGUUGUCUUCAAGGAGUUGUUAUCUUGUCAGUUGAGUUUCUAUGCAAACUUGCUCGUGUGCUAAUUGGAAGAUUCCAUUUAUGUUUCUGUUAUGUAUUGUGAUAUUUGCAUGCAGGGGCCUCAAUGGAAUUUGGAAGACCAGUUUUUGUGUUGAUCAGGAGUACCAUUGGUUUGGUACUCACCCAUUUCUUUUGCAUGUAAGAAGGUGUCACUUUGCUUGCAGGUUGAAUGGACUUCAGAGAAUCAAAACUUGUGUAUGUUAUACUGAAAUGCCUUCAGCCUCAUUGGAAUUGUUGAGUAUGCUAUCCUGAAUUGUCUUCAGCCUCACUGGAAUUGUAGAGUUUGCUAUCCUGAAAUGUCUUCAGCCUCAUUGGAAUUGUUGCCCAGGCAUUUCCUGCAUCAACAAACUCUAACAUGCAAGCUAAUUUAUACGCCUAAACAUUUUAAAAUUGACACCAAAAUGUGUAUUUCAAAUCUCUGUAAUUGUCUUUAGGAUUUCUUUUAGAGUUAAUGAUCAUUACAUCAUAAGGUUUUAUGUCCCGCAUUUAGUGCAGAAAUGACUACUUAUGAUUGUGCAAACUAUCCUUACCCAUUCUCAGCUACUCUUGUUUCGGCCUCUCCAUGCAAUUGUGCAUAUUUUUAAUAUCACAAUUCAGAUAAGAUCAUAAGAAUAUUGAUCAUCUUUCUCAUAUGUAAAAUGUUUUCGGAAUCUUGAUAUCAGCUGUUCAUCUUUUGCAGCGAAUUUUGUGUAGCUGUGCAUGAAUUGUGGAACUGAUAGAACUAACAAGUGCAUCAAGAAUAUUGGAAGGUAUGCGAAAACUGCUUUUCUAAUUACAUUCUUGUUCCUGCCAUGCUUGUUUGUAGUGCUAUAGAGUAUGCUAUGAAUCUUGUCUCUUGCAAGCAAUCAUUGGAAUUGGUUCUUGGAUUCUUGUUCAUAGUUUUUGUUUUGUUUUUGAGUGUGUUAGUUUAUUUAAUCUGUUGCGAGUUUGGUAUAACAAGGUUUCAAAAUCAUUUGGUUAUUAUCUCAAUUCUCAAUGGGCAUAUUGAGACCCACAAUCGGCCUAAAUUGGGCUUUCCCAUUGUGUAGGCUUGCUCAAUAUUUUCUUACUUUUGUUCGUAAGGCCCAAUUUAACCCAUUACGUUCCCGUAUGCAGCCCGUUUCUCGUGCGUACACUCAACCCUGUAUCUUACUUUCUUUAAAUGUUUGUUAUAGAUUGCUCCUCAGGCAAUCAGGUAAGUGUGAUUUCUGUGAAUUCUUCAUCAAGUCUGCUGCUUUUUCUUCUUUCUUCCAAUUGUAAGUUAUGUAUCUGUUAUCAUUCCACAACUAUGUGUAAGCAUAAUAUAGAUUGGAAGUUAAAUAUAUCUUGCAAUGAUUGUAAGAAUUCUUUAAUGUCAUGGAGAGUAUUCAAGCUGAAGUUUUUGUGGAAUCGUUUAACUAUUGGUUGUUAUUAGCAAUAAGUAAGAAGGACAUUGCAAUAGCAUUCUUAGCUUAAGUUUUGAUCUGCUAAUUACCUUACUUUUCAUGAAAGCAUGAUUGUGCCCUGUGAGAUUUUUAAUCAAAAGCUAAAUUUUCCUCUGCCUUAGAUUGGUAAUUUUGAGGUGUUACUGUUAUGUGUAGCAAUAUUAUGCAAUGGAAGGUAAACUUGUGCAUUUUAAUAUUGUCACAUCUUUGCAAUGAUCAUAAACAUUUUUCAAGUUUCUGGUGGUGCUAGUUUCUCCACUGUUGUUUAUAGUUGAGUUCUUAACCUAUGUUCUUCCAAGCAAGUUUGCCUUGAGCUAAAUGUAGCACCUGUGGGAUUUACAAUUGAAAGGUACACAGUAAGAUGAAGGCAACAGAGAUUCUUAGUGACUUACUGGGAAUGGAUGCUAAUAUGUUACAUAAAUGUACUUAAAUCCUUUGGGUCUCAAUUGACAUUACAAAAGGCUUGUUGUAAGUGCAAUGCCUUUUGUGCCAUGGUGCAGGUGGGAGCUAAGCACAAUGAUAAUAUCUAUAUUAAGAUAAAGUGGAUGAGGCAAAUGUGAAUUUUGUUGGUGGAUAUUUCAUGGUGGUCUAAUCAUAAGUGACAGAAGAUUGGAUGAAAGAAACAGAUUAAGAUUUGAGCCUAUGAGUGAUAAAAGGUAUUAGUAAAUUAGUCCCUCUCAUGGAUCGCGUCAGAUAUCGAAUUUAUUUUAUGUCAAGUCCUCAUCAUUAUUCCGACAUUUUUUUUUGUCAUCAAUGAUGAUUGUGGUUAACUAUUUAACUCUAUAAGUGUAAAAGAAUAUACAUACAUAUAUAUAUAUAUAUAUAUAUAUAUAUAUAUAUAUAUAUAUAUAUAUAUAUAUUAGCAUUUAUCUCUAUAUCCCUUGCUCCAAGAUAAACUGGAUUGUUGGAUUAAUAAUAAUAAUAAUAGUCUAUAAUAAUAAUUAUAGAAGAUUGGAUUUUGGAAAUAAUUAUUACAUAAGUAAUUGGGAGGCAGUCAACCUCAUUCCUUUCAUGUUGUAGAACAGACCACUUCAAAACCAUUAAGAAGCUUCAUGUGUAAGAAUCUUCAUACAAAGUCAAACUAACAUGUAAGCUCAAAAGGUUUAGAUGUGAUAAUUAAAUGUGUAUUUCAAGAUUCGUUAAUUACCUUUAGCUCUUGUAGUAGAGUUUAUAAUCAUUUGCAUCACUAGUAUUUCAGAUUUAUGCACACUAUCUUCACUCAUUCUCAACUCGUUUUUUUUCUGCCUAGCCAUGCUUGAUAUGCGUUUUAUAUUUUGAUAUUAGUUGUUCCGUCUUUGCAGCGAUUCUGUGCAGGAGUCGUAGAACUGAUAGAACUUGCAAGUUCAUCAACAAUAUUGGGAAGAUACUCUUUUUUCUUGAUGAUUGAAUAAUAACGUCCCAAUUCUUUUUGUCGACACACGUAUGACUCAAUUUUGGGAAGACAGACAUUAAUGAAAUGAAUAUAUGGAAGGAAGUGAGAAAAGUAGAAUUCAUGAAUUUAAAUAAGACAAGUAAUCUAAGCAAAAUCGUGCACUUAUUUUAUGUUAAUGAACCAUUGCAAUGUGAACAUAAAACAUAAAAGGAUAGGAUACUUUCGGAUGCUCAGGAAGUUGGCAUGUAUAGAUUGAUUGUCUCCAGAUUGAAAUGUGGCUUGCUAUAAUUAACAGGUGUUGUCAUAUAUAUAUAUAAAGGAUACUUUCGGAUGCUCACGAAGUUGGCAUGUAUAGAUUGAUUGUCUCGGAUAAUCCGUUUUUUUUUUACAUGAGGAUCAUCGAUAAUAGUCGAUCGGCAAGGUUGCUACUGUUUGGAUUGUCAAACAAACGAUAAGAUAGUGGAGGAUAAUUGACGAGGUAAAAAUAUAAUGAAACGCAUAUAAAAGUAGAGUAAAAAGCGAUGAUCGAUAGAAGAAAACUGAAUAUUAAAAAAAUUAAUUUUUUUUAAUUUAGGCAGUAUCAUAAGAAAAUUUGAAUGUAGAAGUUUUUUUUUAAAAAGAAUUCGUCGGAUGAUCAAAUCACUUUUCUCAUGUAAAGCGUGUUUUCUUAUGGAGAGACAAAAUUAUAUAAAUAUUUUGUCGAUCACUUUAUCCAUAUUUGUGAUAUAAAUAAAUUAUUCCUGCAGUUUUGUAUUUCUUGUGCAUAGCGAAGCUUAUACACACUAUAUAUAGGAAUUAGGUUACCCAUUUCAGUUCUCUUUCUUCUCCCACGAUGGCGGCUGCGACGCUGCGCUCCGUACUCCGCCGCAAUCGCCUCCUUCCCUUGUUCGAAACCUGCCGCCUUCGAGAUCGCCUCUUCUUCUCCUCCUCUGUCGACGCUGCCGCCGUCACCGUAGGUGGCACCAUGUCUCCAGAUCCCCACUUCAUGGUGGAAUACCUCGUGAACUCCUGCGGGUUCUCCCCCUCCGAGGCAGCCAAGUUCUCUAAAUCCCUUGCGCACCUCCGAUCCACCGAGAAACCCGACGACGUCCUUAACUUCAUGAGAUCUCAGGGCUUCGACGGCGCCGGUAUCAGGAAGGUGAUAUCUGCGGAUCCCAGAUACUUAUGCUACAACGUGGAGAAGAACCUCGCCCCGAAGUUUCAGUUCUUACGCGAUUUGGGCCUAUCGGAGUCGGAUAUCGUCGAUGCCAUCCUGAAGAACAAUGGCAUCCUCCACUACAACGUUCACCGUUACUUGGUCCCCAAAUUGGAGAUGUGGGAAAGUCUCUUGGGAUCGAGAGAGCUCGUUCUCAAGCAUCUCAAGAAGUCAAGAUGGUUUUUCUUCUCCAGCGUUGAGAAGACUUUGCAGCCUAACCUAAAGUUCUUGAGGGAUGAGUGCGGCAUUCCUGAAGAAAGGGUCUCUGUCGUCUUGAGAAGUGACCCAAAAUUCAUCUCACAGAAACCAGAGUCUCUCCGAGCUUUGGUGGCGAGAGCCGAUGAGCUGGGGAUGCCACGGCAAUCUCGGAUGUUCGUGCGGACACUUGUUGCUCUCCACAACGUAAGCAAAGAAAGGUUCGAGGCCAAGGUCGAGCUCAUGAGGAGCUUCGGGUGGUCGGAGUCGGAGUUUUCUUCUGCAGUCAGGAAAUCACCCACCUUCUUAGGUAUCUCCCUCGAUAUGUUUCGCAGAAAAGUGGAAUUUUUUAUCAAUGUGGUCGGUUACACCCCUUCCUUCAUCGCCUCCCAACCAUCUAUCUUGCUAUUUAGUCUGCAGAAGAGGGUAAUUCUUCGGUUUCGUGUCACAGAGAUGUUGAAAUCGAAAGGAUUGUGGACUGGACAAGCCAAGUUUACUUCGAUUCUCUUUUUCUCAGAUACCAAAUUCAUGGAGAAGUUUGUUCUCCCACACAAAGAAAAUGUUCCUGAGCUGCUUGAUAUUUUGAGAUUUGCUGGCACCUGUAAAGGAAAUGAUACCUUGCAUUUGGCAUCGGAGGAUGAGGAAGGGCUUAGCUGAUGGUCUAAUUUGUGACGACGAAGGUAGAUUAUUUCCCUAAUUUGACAUUUGGGUAUUUUCUGCAAAGGGCUUAUCUAAAGGUCCAUUGUGGUGUGGGAAUUUUCUUUUAUGACAAGCUAGCUAGAUUAACAUUGAUUAUAAAUCAAAUUUGUUCUGUCUUACUGAUUGCUAGCUUAAAUUAUUUUCUGAUUGUCUUUGGCAUAGUAUUGUUGCUUUGUACGUUAGCUGCAUGUUUUAAAAAUUCUACAUAACAGUCCAACUGAGAUUACCUUUGGAUCUAUCGAAGGGACUUUUGGCUUUUGUCCAAAUUAAUCCAAUUCCAGAUUGGUUUUUGUUUGGGUUAGUCUUGAAGAGUCAUAUUUCAGAUCAAGUUAUGCUGUAAGUAUAUACAAAAUAUCACCAAAGAUCACAGGAAGUUGCUGCGUAGUAAUUGCUCUAACGAUUUAAGUGGCUGAAAAACACUUAAACUUCUUUGCAAACUUAUGUAUUUAUGUACUAAUUGGAUUAUUCAAAUUUGAUUGAUUCAUUGUAAUAUUAGUAUGCAGUGGCUUCAAUGGAAUUUGAAAGACCAGUUGCACUGGGUUGAUCAGGAGUCACCAGCUCUUCUGAAACGUCUUCAACCUCCUUUGGAAUUGCUAAAGCUUUUCUCGCAUCAACAAACUCUUGCAUGCCUCCAUAGGCUUCUGCUCGUCCACUCUUUGUGAUUCCAGGUGCAGAUCUCUUCAUUCUUGGAUUUGGUGGAUGCAAUUUCUCAUCAUCAUAGC